AUUGAACGCUGGCGGCAGGCCUAACACAUGCAAGUCGAGCGGGGUUUUCGGACCUAGCGGCGGACGGGUGAGUAAUGCGUAGGAAGCUACCCGAUAGAGGGGGAUACCAGUUGGAAACGACUGUUAAUACCGCAUAAUGUCUACGGACCAAAGUGUGGGACCUUCGGGCCACAUGCUAUCGGAUGCGCCUACGUGGGAUUAGCUAGUUGGUGGGGUAAUGGCUCACCAAGGCGACGAUCCCUAGCUGGUUUGAGGGGAUGAUUAGCCACACUGGAACUGAGACACGGUCCAGACUCCUACGGGAGGCAGCAGUGGGGAAUAUGGGACAAUGGGCGCAAGCCUGAUCCAGCCAUGCCGCGUGUGUGAAGAAGGCCUUCGGGUUGUAAAGCACUUUCAGUAGGGAGGAAGGAUGUUGUGUUAAUAGCACAGCAUUUUGACGUUACCUACAGAAGAAGCACCGGCUAACUCUGUGCCAGCAGCCGCGGUAACAC
rnacentral:rRNA from 1 species